GCUUCGGUGGUCUAGCGGUAUGAUUCCCGCUUAGGGUGGUACUCUAAGCUUCUGUAUGCGGGAGGUCCCGGGUUCAAUCCCCGGCUGAAGCC